UGGGGAAUAUUGGACAAUGGGCGCAAGCCUGAUCCAGCCAUGCCGCGUGUGUGAUGAAGGCCUUAGGGUUGUAAAGCACUUUCACCGGAGAAGAUAAUGACGGUAUCCGGAGAAGAAGCCCCGGCUAACUUCGUGCCAGCAGCCGCGGUAAUACGAAGGGGGCUAGCGUUGUUCGGAAUUACUGGGCGUAAAGCGCACGUAGGCGGAUCGAUCAGUCAGGGGUGAAAUCCCGCAGCUCAACUGCGGAACUGCCUUUGAUACUGUCGGUCUAGAGUAUGGAAGAGGUGAGUGGAAUUCCGAGUGUAGAGGUGAAAUUCGUAGAUAUUCGGAGGAACACCAGUGGCGAAGGCGGCUCACUGGUCCAUUACUGACGCUGAGGUGCGAAAGCGUGGGGAGCAAACAG
rnacentral:rRNA from 1 species